GCGGUGAUGUGUAUAAGUGACAGGUUGGUAGAGCACGACCUUGCCAAGGUCGGGGUCGCGAGUUCGAGUCUCGUUUCCCGCUCCA
rnacentral:tRNA from 1 species